rnacentral:rRNA from 1 species
GACGACCGGCAAACGGGUGCGGAACAUGUACGCAACCAUUCCCAAAACUGGUGAAUAGCCCUCCGGAAAGGAGGAUUAAUACACCGUAAGAUAAUGAAGAGGCAUCUCUUUAUAAUUAUAGCUCCGGCGGUUUAGGAUGGGCGUGCACCUGAUAAGGUAAGUUGGUGAGGUAACGGCUCACCAAGCCUGCGAUCAGUAACUGGUGUGAGAGCACGACCAGUUCACACGGGCACUGAGACACGGGCCCGACUCCUACGGGAGGCAGCAGUAAGGAAUAUUGGUCAAUGGACGAAAGUCUGAACCAGCCAUGCCGCGUGAAGGAUGACGGCCCUCUGGGUUGUAGACUUCUCUUAUAUGGGACGAAAAAAGGGAAUUCUUUCUCACUAGACGGUACCAUACGGAAUAAGCACCGGCUAACUCCGUGCCAGCAGGCACGCGGUAAUACGGAGGGUGC